UCGUCAGCUCGUGUCGUGAGAUGGUUAGGGUUAACGUCCCGUAACGAGCGCACCCUUGUCCUUAGUUACCAGCACGUUAUGGUGGGCACUCUAAGGAGACUGCCGGUGACAAACCGGAGGAAGGUGGGGAUGACGUCAAGUCAUCAUGGCCCUUACGGCCUGGGCUACACACGUGCUACAAUGGUCGGUACAAAGGGUUGCCAAGCCGCGAGGUGGAGCUAAUCCCAUAAAACCGAUCGUAGUCCGGAUCGCAGUCUGCAACUCGACUGCGUGAAGUCGGAAUCGCUAGUAAUCGUGAAUCAGAAUGUCACGGUGAAUACGUUCCCGGGCCUU
rnacentral:rRNA from 1 species